ACCUUUAUAGUGUAAGAGGUAGCACAUCCGACUGACAAUCGGAAGGACCGAAAUUCGAAUUCCGGUCGAGGCA
rnacentral:tRNA from 1 species